rnacentral:lncRNA from 1 species
GGCACUGCUGAGAAGCACCUGAGGUUCCUUCAGACAGCUGGCGGGCCUUACACUCUUGGCCCCGUAGGCCAGGACAGACAGACAGGUGGGCCCAGAAAGGACCUGGAGCCAUUGACUCAAGUCCGAGUGGCUGCAAGCCGCUGCUGGACAGAACCAGAGAGAAUGGGAAACAUGCCACCAACUUUUAUAGUUACAUGUCAGGUGCAGGGACACGUCCUGAGCAAUGUCCUGUUAGGUGAUUUUGUCACUGUACCAACCUAGAGUGUGCUUACACAAGCCUACGACAGCCACAGGUCACUGGGCAGUAUUACCUUGUGGGUCCACUGUUGUGUUACGUGGUCCAUCAUCGGCCCAAACGUCCUUGUGGCGUGGGACAGCGUUUACACGGCUGCUUUCCAGACUGAGGUGCCCCCUUUGGCCCUUGGUCCUCCUCUGACCGUCUUAAUGGCCCCAAGUUGGCGUUACAGGGGAGCUCUUAGGAAGAGGGGUAUGUCUGUCCAGAAGCUGGCAGGGCCAUGACGGUUUUGUCUCUGUUUGCGACAGAGGCUGAGUGGCUGUCAUCCUUUUCCCACCAGCCCCCUUCGCCAGAGUUGGGGGACAGCCAGGAGUUUUGUGGUUAAAUAAUUUUUUGACCUUCAGCUAUAGGACAUCGGUGCCGUGUUAAGUACUUCAGAAGACCUGGGAGAUAAGAAAUCUGACCUCCUUUUCUAGAUGAAACCCAGACUGAGCGAAGAGCUAAGGAAAAUAUAGAAGCUUGACUACAAGAGGCCUAGGCUGGGUCUAGCAGCCCGUAACAAAUGCUUUUGGUUUUCUUUAUAACAAGGGAAAUUCCUUCACCUCAGGCUCGGAGGAAGUUGAGAGGUCUAGCAUGACUUAACACACGUUUUAAGAGUGAAUUAUCUUUGGGGGUAACUUAGGGACAAACAUCCCUGGAGGCUGCCCCGUCCUCCUCUGCCCCCUUCCCCAGCCUGCCCCUCGUCCUCCCACAUCCUCCCCUUCUCCCUCCACCCAGUGGGGGCCCCGAUGAGCGGCAGUGUGUGGAGAGCAGGAGACUGAUACGGACACACCUCUGCUCUCUUUCUUCUUUCUUUCCUUUUGCAGUGCUGGGGAUCGAGCCCAGGCUCUAAUGCCAUUGAGCCACACCCCCCAGGCCUUCUCUAUUUUUUAGGACCUUCCUGAGGAGGCCAGUCCACCUCGUUUGCUUUAGGAUGAAGGCUUUUGGGUUGCUGUCGAGACUAUAAUGGUGAUUUUAGCCCGUGGCUUAUUGCACACAACUUAUUAUAUUUAAGGCAUGGGGGGGUCUCCUGUGAGCAAGGUUCCUAUCACCCACUGUGGUGGCUGUGCAUGCUUCACUGACCUAUGGGGACAGAGUCACUGGCUGCUCUGUUCCCUAGAAGAACGGACAAGCUGCCAGGUGCACACCUAUAAUCCCAGUGGUUUGGGAAGCCGAGGCAGGCGGAUUGAGAGUUCAAAGCCAGCCUCGGCAACUUAGUGAGGCCCUGACCAACUCAGCAAGACCUGUCUCUAAAUAAAAUGCAGAAAAGGGCUGAGGGUGUGGCUCAGUGGUUGAGUGUCCCCGAUUCAGUCCCUGGUACCAAAAAAAAAGAAGGGACAGGCCAAGCCUCCAAACGGACAGAAAUUCCUGGCCUACCCUCCAAGUCCGCUCCGUGGGGUGGGACACGCGGGAGGGAGGUGUCUUUGGGAAGAGCAGAGAGGUGGCCCGGCUUGGCUUCUCAUGUCUGACUGCCUUCCGCCAAGGUUUAAGUUCCAGGUUGUCAUCAGUGGCCGCGAGUUCCCCCCGGCGGAAGCUGGCAGCAAGAAGGUGGCCAAGCAGGAUGCAGCUCUGAAAGCCAUGACGAUCCUACUGCGGGAGGCCAAAGCCAAGGACAGUGGGAAGCCAGAGGACUUGUCCUGCUGUUCCCCAGAAAAAGAGCCAGAGGAGGUAGGGACCUGCCCAAGGUGGGUCUCGUCUCUCAGGUCUCAAGGGGUAGCAUCUUAACUGGCCCCUGGAAGCGAUCCUGGUCUAAAAGCCCUGGUCUCUAGUCCCAAGACAGCUUCCCGCCUCCUCUGCCCACCUCCAACCCGCUUUCCUCUCCUUCCCAGCCCCCCUCCUGCCCCCUUGAGCCUAGCUGGAGGUGCAGAACGUCAAGCCUGGAAGAGGCUGAAGCAGUACGGUGCUCCGUCUCCACUUUGGGCAGAUAGCUUACUCUCUCCUGCCAUGCCCGGGAAGGCCACCCUUAACACUGACGGAUCCGAGAGUCCCCGUCCGUCCCUUCUGCGGAGGCGGAGCAGCCGGCCUGGUCUCAGUUCCUCGUGCUUUAUUCUGUCUUCUCGUCUCACUUUCUCCAGACAGCGGAGCCCCAGCCCACCGCCACCUCAACGUCGUCCCUGUUUUCUGGGAAGAGCCCCGUCACUACCUUGCUGGAGUGUAUGCACAAACUGGGCAACUCCUGUGAAUUCCGGCUCCUGUCCAAAGAAGGCCCUGCCCAUGACCCCAAGUACGUCCGGGGAGGGACGGUGUCUCCAAGAGGCUUUCUCAGAGACAGGCUCGUCUUCCUCUUCAGAGACGGCAGCUUAUUGUCUCUGAGCAGUUUCUUCUGCUGCAUGUGGAAGGGCCUUCAGGACCUGGUUGCUGCUUGGAAAGCAGAGAAGCUGGAAUCGGGAGUCCAGAGGGACCAAGGGCAAGGAGGGGUUGGUAGCGUGGGGGUCACUGUUGGUGGGACAGAAAGGUCCAGGGCCUUGGUGGGCCUGAGCAGCUCUCUGAGGGUCUGUGGACUCACAUAUCCGAGAGAAGGGCUCUGGAGGAGGGGAAAGUUUUGCAUGUUGAAAGUGGGGAGCCAGGCUGAGAGACCCGGGCAGCAGGUGGGCGAGGGGCAGCGGCUAUGCAAGGCAGAAGUGACUAUAGAAGGUGAUGUGCACAAGAAGUCGCAUGUAGUAGAGAACGUUAGCAAGUUGGGCCGGUCUCUGCAAUCACAACCUUCCUCCCUCUGGUCAGGUUCCAGUACUGUGUGGCGGUGGGAGCCCAAACCUUCCCUACCGUGAGUGCUCCCAGCAAGAAAGUGGCAAAGCAGAUGGCCGCAGAGGAGGCCAUGAAGGCCCUGCACGAGGAGGCCACCAACUCGGUUGAUGACCAGGUGGGCGUUUCUCCUGCUGAAACACCGUGGGGCGAUCUAGCAACGGAGCAGGUCAGGGUGGCCCACGUUUCUUUGAAUGUUCAUGGCUCCUUUUUGUUUGGCUGAUUCUCCUUUAGUCUGGAGGUGCCAACUCAGAAUCACUUGACAACCUGGACUCUGGGAUGCCCAACAGGAUCAGGAGGAUCGGUGAGCUCGUCAGAUACCUGAACACCAACCCCGUGGGCGGCUUGUUAGAGUACGCCCGCUCCCAUGGCUUUGCUGCUGAGUUCAAGUUGGUGGACCAGUCUGGACCCCCUCAUGAGCCCAAGUGAGUGUUCCAGACCCAGCUCCUGCUGGGUGUCAUCAGGUAGGGGUGGUGUGUCGUCCAGGGAAAGAAAGGAUGUGCGCCGCUGUGAAGGACAGGGAAGGCAGGUGAUGAAACAAGCCAACCCUCUCUCCACAGCCUCUUGGAUGAAGUUAGUCUUCCAUCUUGAGGAUACAGUGAGCAUUUUAUAUAUAUAUAUAUAUUUACUUUUAAAUAUAUAUUAAAUAUAUAUUAUAUAAAUAUAUAUUAAAUAUAUAUUAAAUAUAUAUUAUAUUUUAAAUAUAUAUAUAUAUAUAUUUACUUUUUUUAUUUCUGAAAGAAAAAAAAAAAAAUAUAUAUAUAUAUAUAUAUAUAAAAUCAUUCAAACUGACCAAAUAAGUCUAUAGCGAAAAGUCUUAUUUCUAUCCCAGACUUCUCUCCUAAGAUCCUCAUACUAUCAACUUGAAUUUCCUUCUGGAAAUUUCUAUGCAUAACUAGCACAGUUUCCUUUCUUUUUUUCUUUUUUUUUAAACAAGAAUAAGCAUAGAGCAUGCUUUCUGUUCAACACCUUGUGCCAGUGUGUCUCAGAUAGUGUCUCAGGUAAAUACAGAUCAGAAUAUACAGCUCUACCAAGGUCUCUUGCACAGCUGAAUGAUAUUUCAUUGACUAAAUACUUGCAAUUUUAAAAUUACUUAUUAAAUAAGAGAUAUGACAGACCUUUUCUAAAAUAGAUACUGAUGCACCACCACCUAGUUUAAGAAAAUAAAAUGUUGCUAGUACUUGGGAACACGCCACCCCAACUUGGCAUAAUUUGUUUAACCCACUUCCAGUGACAUUUAGGUUGCUUUGGUCACACUAUUAGAAACACUCCAGUUGAAUUUCCUCAUACUGUAUGCUUUUGCUUUCAUUAGCAAAACUGUCAGUAGUAAUUUUUUUUAAUAUUUAUUUUUUAGUUAUAGGUGGACACAAUAUCUUUAUUUUAUUUUUAUGUGGGGCUGAGGAUUGAACCCGGUGCCUCAUGCAUGGUAGGCGAGCGCUCUACCUCUGAGCCACAACCCCAGCCCCUAUCAGUAGUAAAUUUUUAGGAGUGAAAUUUUGGGGCCAUAAGCAAUAUGUUUUUUUAAGGUUUAAAAAUUUUUGUAUAGGUAAUAGACUACUCAAAAAUUUUUUUAAAAUUCAGAAAAAUAUAAGAAGUUCAUUCUCAGUCUCCCUUGGGCCUAGCUGUCAUCUCCUAUCCACAACCCCCAUCAACAUUUAAUGAUUUUGCAUUAUAAUAUGUCUCUCUUGAGUGUGUUUGUGUAAAUACAGGCAAGUGCAUCUCCCCUGUUGGUUUCAUAUAAGCAUUGAUCUAUAACUUGAUCUUAUACAACAAUAUAAUAGCAUUCUAUAACCCUGUAUUCUUUGAAUAAUGCUGCAAAGUGUAUUGUUAGAGUGCACGUGAUUUAGUUAACCAGCUCCUCUUGGAGAACACUUGGGUUGUUUCCAGAAUUCUGCUGUUAUGAACAAUAGUAUAGCCUGUUUAUGAGCAUUCGAAAUUUUAAUAUGUAAAUUUAUGUAAACGAGUGAUUUUCCUCCAAUGAGAUCACACCAUCUUAUGCUUUUACCAACAAUAUGUAAGAAUGGCUCUUCCCCAGCUCCACCCAGGCUAAUAUGAUAUAAUCAAAAUUGUUAUCUUUGGGGGGCUGGGGAUGUGGCUCAGGGGCAGAGCACUUGCCUAGCACCUGUGAGGCACUGAGUUCGAUCCUCAGCACCACACAAAAAUAAACAAAUAAACUAAGGCAUGCUGUCUAUCUACAACUAUAAAAAACAUUUUUUAAAAAUCUCAUCUUUGCCAUUCUAAAAUGGAAAAAAAAACAGUAUUUUGCUGUAUUGCAAAGAUUAAUCUGUUAGGAUAUUUAUUAUUACUAUUUACCAUAUUAAUGGAUCACAGGAGAGAAACCACAUAAUUAUCUCCAGAGAUUCUGAAAAGGCAUGUAUAAAACUCAGCAUCCAUUCAGAUUAACAAAACAAGCUGUCAGUAAAAUUAAAAUGAUUGAAUACCUCCUUACCAUGAUAAAAAAUACAUUUGAAGUCAAAAGCCAGCAGCUUAUUUAACGAUGAACCUAGAACUGUUCCCAUUGAAGUCAGGAGGGAGACAUAGUUGUCAGUGUCAUCAUUAUGAGGCAUUAUUCUGGAAUUCUAGCCAAUGCCAGUCAAGAGAAAGAAAUAGUGUACAUGCCAGGCGUGUGGUGCACACCUGUAAUCCCAGGGACUCAGGAGGCUGCACUGGGAUCCUCCUGUCUCAGUCUCCUGAGUCUCGGGAUACAGACGUGUGCCACCAUACCCAUGAUUGAUAGAACUCUUAAGCACGUACUGUUCAUGUACUCAGUACAACUUUAAGGCCAGCCUCAGCAACUUAACAAGUCCUAAGCAACUUAGUGAGACCCUAUCUCAAAAUAGCAAAAACUAAAAGAGCUGCAGAUAUAGCUGGUGGUAAAGCACCCCUGGGUUCAAUUCCAAGUACCAAAAACAAAGAAGAAAGAAAACCAAAUAUACAAAGAAGAAAGAGGUAGUUAGUUAAUCAUUAUUUGCAGAUGACUUGAUUGUAUACCUGGAAUAUUUACCUGAAAACCAAGGAAAUGCAUAGGCAGAGAAUUGAGAAAAGUCGGAAAUCGCAGUGAAAUGCGUAAGAAUCCAGAGCUUGCCUGUGGGCUGGGCUGUGGCUCAGUGGAGGAGCGCUCGCCUAGCACUGGGUUCCAUCCUCAGCACCACAUGAAAAAUAAAUAUAUAAACAAAUAAAAUGAUUUUUAAAAAGAGCUUAUCUGUAUGCAGGAAUAAGCAAUUGGGAAAUGCAGUGGAAGAAAUUACCCUAUUACAACAGCAACUAAAAAGAUGAACUACCAGGCUGGGGUAUAGCUCAGUUGGUAGAGUGCUUGCCUUGCACGCACAAGGCCCUGGGUUCAAUCCCCAGCACCACAGGAAAAAAAAAAAAAAAGAUAAACUACCUAGGCACAGUCCUAAUAGGAACUAUGUAGGAACAAUGUUAAGUAAAACGGUAAUCAAAGAUAUGAAGGAAGACUUGAUUAAAUGGGAGGAAGAAUCUGUUAUUAGACAGUAAAGGUUUUUGUGUUUUGGUUUUUUGUGGUCUGGGGAUCAACUGAGAACCUCACAUGUGCUAGGUAUAUAUUCUACCACUGAGCUACACCCCAGGCCAAGUAUUUUAAAGAUAGCAGCUGUCCCCAGAUUAAUCUUCACACUUAAUAUGGUCCCAAUAAAAAUAUCAACAGAAUUUAUUUUGGAAGUAGAAAACUUGAUUCUGAAUUUCAUAUGAAAAACAAAUACAUAAAAAUAGCUAGGAAAUUCAGAGAAAAAAGGACUGAUCCUACCAGAUUUUUUUUUUUAAGAAUUUAACCUUUAUUUUAUUUAUUUGUUUGUUUAUUUAUUUAUUUAUUUAAUAUUUAUUUUUUUAGUUUUUGGCAGACACAACAUCUUUGUUUGUAUGUGGUGCUGAGGAUCGAACCUGGGCUGCACGCAUGCCAGGCGAGCGCACUACCGCUUGAGCCACAUCCCCAGCCCCUACCAGAUUUUUUUACCUGCUGCCAAGGGUUGAACCCAGUGCCUCACCCGCAACAGGCAAGCGCUCUACAACCCCAGCCCCUACCAGAUUUUAAAACAGUGAUGUGAUGUACAUAGCUAGAAAGGUGCUUCCGGGGAUCAGACGGGAGCACCCAAAAGGUCGAAAACCAUAUGAAUGGUAUUUUUGUAUGUUGUAAACAUAAGGCUCCAAAUGAGUGGGGAAAUGGUGGUAGUGGGGCUGCCAGCUCUCCAUCCUGAAAACAAAACCAGAGCUGUUUGUCUGCCCCCUUCCCGACUCCCAGACCCCUACAGAUCCAAGGUUUAAAUGUAAAAUAAAUGAAAUCUGAUCACUAGAUAAAAGGAGGGAUAUUUCUAGAAUCUUCAAGCAGCAAAGCCUUUCCAAUCAAAGACACAAAACGUAAAGUCAUCAGGUAAAAAGCCCAGAAAUGUUAAUAGUAAGAAAAAAAUGGUGCGUAGUCAAAAGACCACCUGAGAAAAACACCACAGUGCCCAGCAGCCCGAGGCUAAUUUCUUUGAUACGUGAAGGGUUCUACAGAAAUCCCAAUGGAAAACCUUAGGAGAAAACUAAAGUAUUGGGCUGGGGAUGUGGCUCAAGCGGUAGCGCGCUCACCUGGCAUGCGUGCGGCCCGGGUUCGAUUCUCAGCACCACAUACAAACAAAGAUGUUGUGUCCGCCAAAUACUAAAAAAUAAAUGUUGAAAUUCUCUCUCUCUCUACCUCUCUCUCACUCUCUCUUUAUAAAAAAAAAAAAAAAAAAAAAAAACUAAAGUAUGUGAGCUGUACAUUCAUAGAAAAGGAAAUACAGUGAAUUGCCAGGUGGUGGCACACCUGUAGCCUGUAAUCCCAGCAGCUCAGGAGGCUGAGGCAGGAGGAUCACAGGUUCAAAGCCAGCCUCAGCAACUUAGUGAGGCCUUAACCAACUCAGUGAGACCCUGUCUCAAAAUAAAAAUGGCCGGGAAUACAUCUCGGUGGUAAAGUGCCCCGGGUUCAGUCCCUGGUACCAAAAGAAAAAGGAAAAGAAGUACAAUGAAUUGUCAGUAAACAGAAAGGUACACGACCUCAUUUUGUAAAUUAAAUUGACGCUUUGACAGCAUACCUACAAAACAGCGGUGCAGUUAGCCUGUGCAUUACAGCUGAGUGUGAGAACAGUGCCUCCAGCCCAGACACACAGUGCACGGCGUUUGUNACCCUCUCUCCACAGCCUCUUGGAUGAAGUUAGUCUUCCAUCUUGAGGAUACAGUUUCUCUUCAGUGACAGUGAGCAUUAUAUAUAUAUUUACUUUUUUUAUUUCUGAAAGAAAAAAAUAUAUAUAUAUAUAUAUAAAAUCAUUCAAACUGACCAAAUAAGUCUAUAGUGAAAAGUCUUAUUUCUAUCCCAGACUUCUCUCCUAAGAUCCUCAUACUAUCAACUUGAAUUUCCUUCUGGAAAUUUCUAUGCAUAACUAGCACAGUUUCCUUUCUUUUUUUCUUUUUUUUUAAACAAGAAUAAGCAUAGAGCAUGCUUUCUGUUCAACACCUUGUGCCAGUGUGUCUCAGAUAGUGUCUCAGGUAAAUACAGAUCAGAAUAUACAGCUCUACCAAGGUCUCUUGCACAGCUGAAUGAUAUUUCAUUGACUAAAUACUUGCAAUUUUAAAAUUACUUAUUAAAUAAGAGAUAUGACAGACCUUUUCUAAAAUAGAUACUGAUGCACCACCACCUAGUUUAAGAAAAUAAAAUGUUGCUAGUACUUGGGAACACACCACCCCAACUUGGCAUAAUUUGUUUAACCCACUUCCAGUGACAUUUAGGUUGCUUUGGUCACACUAUUAGAAACACUCCAGUUGAAUUUCCUCAUACUGUAUGCUUUUGCUUUCAUUAGCAAAACUGUCAGUAGUAAUUUUUUUAAUAUUUAUUUUUUAGUUAUAGGUGGACACAAUAUCUUUAUUUUAUUUUUAUGUGGGGCUGAGGAUUGAACCCGGUGCCUCAUGCAUGGUAGGCGAGCGCUCUACCUCUGAGCCACAACCCCAGCCCCUGUCAGUAGUAAAUUUUUAGGAGUGAAAUUUUGGGGCCAUAAACAAUAUGUUUUUUUAAGGUUUAAAAAUUUUUGUAUAGGUAAUAGACUACUCAAAAAUUUUUUUAAAAUUCAGAAAAAUAUAAGAAGUUCAUUCUCAGUCUCCCUUGGGCCUAGCUGUCAUCUCCUAUCCACAACCCCCAUCAACAUUUAAUGAUUUUGCAUUAUAAUAUGUCUCUCUUGAGUGUGUUUGUGUAAAUACAGGCAAGUGCAUCUCCCCUGUUGGUUUCAUAUAAGCAUUGAUCUAUAACUUGAUCUUAUACAACAAUAUAAUAGCAUUCUAUAACCCUGUAUUCUUUGAAUAAUGCUGCAAAGUGUAUUGUUAGAGUGCACGUGAUUUAGUUAACCAGCUCCUCUUGGAGAACACUUGGGUUGUUUCCAGAAUUCUGCUGUUAUGAACAAUAGUAUAGCCUGUUUAUGAGCAUUCGAAAUUUUAAUAUGUAAAUUUAUGUAAACGAGUGAUUUUCCUCCAGUGAGAUCACACCAUCUUAUGCUUUUACCAACAAUAUGUAAGAAUGGCUCUUCCCCAGCUCCACCCAGGCUAAUAUGAUAUAAUCAAAAUUGUUAUCUUUGGGGGGCUGGGGAUGUGGCUCAGGGGCAGAGCACUUGCCUAGCACCUGUGAGGCACUGAGUUCGAUCCUCAGCACCACACAAAAAUAAACAAAUAAACUAAGGCAUGCUGUCUAUCUACAACUAUAAAAAACAUUUUUUAAAAAUCUCAUCUUUGCCAUUCUAAAAUGGAAAAAAAAACAGUAUUUUGCUGUAUUGCAAAGAUUAAUCUGUUAGGAUAUUUAUUAUUACUAUUUACCAUAUUAAUGGAUCACAGGAGAGAAACCACAUAAUUAUCUCCAGAGAUUCUGAAAAGGCAUGUAUAAAACUCAGCAUCCAUUCAGAUUAACAAAACAAGCUGUCAGUAAAAUUAAAAUGAUUGAAUACCUCCUUACCAUGAUAAAAAAUACAUUUGAAGUCAAAAGCCAGCAGCUUAUUUAACGAUGAACCUAGAACUGUUCCCAUUGAAGUCAGGAGGGAGACAUAGUUGUCAGUGUCAUCAUUAUGAGGCAUUAUUCUGGAAUUCUAGCCAAUGCCAGUCAAGAGAAAGAAAUAGUGUACAUGCCAGGCGUGUGGUGCACACCUGUAAUCCCAGGGACUCAGGAGGCUGCACUGGGAUCCUCCUGUCUCAGUCUCCUGAGUCUCGGGAUACAGACGUGUGCCACCAUACCCAUGAUUGAUAGAACUCUUAAGCACGUACUGUUCAUGUACUCAGUACAACUUUAAGGCCAGCCUCAGCAACUUAACAAGUCCUAAGCAACUUAGUGAGACCCUAUCUCAAAAUAGCAAAAACUAAAAGAGCUGCAGAUAUAGCUGGUGGUAAAGCACCCCUGGGUUCAAUUCCAAGUACCAAAAACAAAGAAGAAAGAAAACCAAAUAUACAAAGAAGAAAGAGGUAGUUAGUUAAUCAUUAUUUGCAGAUGACUUGAUUGUAUACCUGGAAUAUUUACCUGAAAACCAAGGAAAUGCAUAGGCAGAGAAUUGAGAAAAGUCGGAAAUCGCAGUGAAAUGCGUAAGAAUCCAGAGCUUGCCUGUGGGCUGGGCUGUGGCUCAGUGGAGGAGCGCUCGCCUAGCACUGGGUUCCAUCCUCAGCACCACAUGAAAAAUAAAUAUAUAAACAAAUAAAAUGAUUUUUAAAAAGAGCUUAUCUGUAUGCAGGAAUAAGCAAUUGGGAAAUGCAGUGGAAGAAAUUACCCUAUUACAACAGCAGCUAAAAAGAUGAACUACCAGGCUGGGGUAUAGCUCAGUUGGUAGAGUGCUUGCCUUGCACACACAAGGCCCUGGGUUCAAUCCCCAGCACCACAGGAAAAAAAAAAAAAGAUAAACUACCUAGGCACAGUCCUAAUAGGAACUAUGUAGGAACAAUGUUAAGUAAAACGGUAAUCAAAGAUAUGAAGGAAGACUUGAUUAAAUGGGAGGAAGAAUCUGUUAUUAGACAGUAAAGGUUUUUGUGUUUUGGUUUUUUGUGGUCUGGGGAUCAACUGAGAACCUCACAUGUGCUAGGUAUAUAUUCUACCACUGAGCUACACCCCAGGCCAAGUAUUUUAAAGAUAGCAGCUGUCCCCAGAUUAAUCUUCACACUUAAUAUGGUCCCAAUAAAAAUAUCAACAGAAUUUAUUUUGGAAGUAGAAAACUUGAUUCUGAAUUUCAUAUGAAAAACAAAUACAUAAAAAUAGCUAGGAAAUUCAGAGAAAAAAGGACUGAUCCUACCAGAUUUUUUUUUUUAAGAAUUUAACCUUUAUUUUAUUUAUUUGUUUGUUUAUUUAUUUAUUUAUUUAAUAUUUAUUUUUUUAGUUUUUGGCAGACACAACAUCUUUGUUUGUAUGUGGUGCUGAGGAUCGAACCUGGGCUGCACGCAUGCCAGGCGAGCGCACUACCGCUUGAGCCACAUCCCCAGCCCCUACCAGAUUUUUUUACCUGCUGCCAAGGGUUGAACCCAGUGCCUCACCCGCAACAGGCAAGCGCUCUACAACCCCAGCCCCUACCAGAUUUUAAAACAGUGAUGUGAUGUACAUAGCUAGAAAGGUGCUUCCGGGGAUCAGACGGGAGCACCCAAAAGGUCGAAAACCAUAUGAAUGGUAUUUUUGUAUGUUGUAAACAUAAGGCUCCAAAUGAGUGGGGAAAUGGUGGUAGUGGGGCUGCCAGCUCUCCAUCCUGAAAACAAAACCAGAGCUGUUUGUCUGCCCCCUUCCCGACUCCCAGACCCCUACAGAUCCAAGGUUUAAAUGUAAAAUAAAUGAAAUCUGAUCACUAGAUAAAAGGAGGGAUAUUUCUAGAAUCUUCAAGCAGCAAAGCCUUUCCAAUCAAAGACACAAAACAUAAAGUCAUCAGGUAAAAAGCCCAGAAAUGUUAAUAGUAAGAAAAAAAUGGUGCGUAGUCAAAAGACCACCUGAGAAAAACACCACAGUGCCCAGCAGCCCGAGGCUAAUUUCUUUGAUACGUGAAGGGUUCUACAGAAAUCCCAAUGGAAAACCUUAGGAGAAAACUAAAGUAUGUGAGCUGUACAUUCAUAGAAAAGGAAAUACAGUGAAUUGCCAGGUGGUGGCACACCUGUAGCCUGUAAUCCCAGCAGCUCAGGAGGCUGAGGCAGGAGGAUCACAGGUUCAAAGCCAGCCUCAGCAACUUAGUGAGGCCUUAACCAACUCAGUGAGACCCUGUCUCAAAAUAAAAAGGGCCGGGAAUACGUCUCGGUGGUAAAGUGCCCCAGGUUCAGUCCCUGGUACCAAAAGAAAAAGGAAAAGAAGUACAAUGAAUUGUCAGUAAACAGAAAGGUACACGACCUCAUUUUGUAAAUUAAAUUGACGCUUUGACAGCAUACCUACAAAACAGCGGUGCAGUUAGCCUGUGCAUUACAGCUGAGUGUGAGAACAGUGCCUCCAGCCCAGACACACAGUGCACGGCGUUUGUGCAGAGGUCUUCAUGCAGCAUUGUUCACAGCAGCAAGAGGCUGGACGUGGUCUCAAGCACCAUCAUUUGCACACUGGUUAAGUCAGCCGUGGUGCAUCUCCACUAAAGAGUACUAAACAACCUUGUAAAGCACAGCGUGUCUGUGUGAGACCAUCUCUGAAACCUGUGCGCAGAGGGGAAGGCACUGUGGAUGGCAGGGGAGAGACAUAGUGUGUGUGUGUGUGUGUGUGUGUGUGUGUACACGCGCAGAGUAUUUUCUGGAAGGAUUACGACAGUCUGGUAGCUGGUAAUGCACUGCAUCUGGGGAAGGAAGGACACAUUUCAUUGUAUUCUCUGAGUGGUUGGAAUUUUUACUGGUGUGGUAUCUAACUUUUCAAAUAAAAAAAAAGCCAUUGGGCUGAGGUUGUAGCUCAAUAGUAGAGAGAGCUCUCCCUUGCACACGUGAGGCCCUGGGUUGGAUCCUCAGCACCACAGAAAAAUAAGUAAAUAAAGUAAAGGUAUUGUGUCCACCUCCAAUGAAAAAUAAAUAUGUUAAAAACAUCAAGGAGAAAAGCUCAUGAAAAUGGCACCUUGUUAUACAUUUUGUUUUUAGAGUAACAACAUUCAUUUAUUAGUGUUUACAUGUGAUUUGCAUUUACUUUUAUGUGAAAUACCUUUUCUGUCCUUAUCCAGUUUUCUUUUGGAUCAUUACUCUUCAUUAGCAAGUUAGAGCUUUUAACAUAAUAAGAAACCUUAACCCUUGACCAGCGUAACCCAACAGAGCCCUCAGGCUAGGAGGGCAGCAACGGCUCUCCACUGCCCCCUUGUGGCAGGAUGCAUUGCCCACUGGGCAAUGAACCUUCUGGAAGGGAAGAUCAGCCUCCCUCCUGCUCUUUACUGGUUCAUAUCCUUCAGUCUGAAUAAACCCCCAGAGCCUCCCACCCCACUUCUGGGGAUUGAACCCAGGGGCACUCUACCACUGAGCCACAUCCCCAGCACUGUUUAUUUUUUUAUUUUGAGACAAGGUCUCACUGAAUUGCUGAGGCUGGCCUCAAACUUGUGAUCUUCUGCCUCAGCCUCUUGAGUCACUAGAAUUAUAGUGUACAGCACCAUGCCCAGCAGAACUCAUUUCCUUUAAAUUCAUUCCUUUAAUUUCUUUAUGUAAUAGGUUCAGUGUUUUUCCUUCUUUUUUUUUCCCCUCAACCACUGAGCCACAUCCCUAGCCCUUUAUUAUUAUUAUUAUUAUUAUUAUUAUUAUUAUUAUUAUUAUUAUUAUUAUUUUCUUAUUUAGAGACAGGGUCUCACUGAGUUGCUCAGGGCCUCCCUAAGUUUCUGAGGCUGGCUUUGCACUUGUGAUCCUCCUGCCUCAGCCUCCUGAGACACUGGGAUUACAUGCAUGCACUACCGUGCCCUGCUUUUCCUCUUUAUCUUCUAUGAAAUCCUUUCUGAAACUCCGUGGCUCAUUCAUUCAAAACACAAGGACUUAUUAUCAACUAAAUUGAGAAUGUGAAGAAUUGCUGCCCCAAGUGUGCAGGAUGUGUGACCGUAACACAGAGUUGGAAUGUGCCGUAUGGAGGGACAUGCAGUGUGCCAUGGGGACACAGGAUAUUGCUGCCAGCUCCUCCUGGGAAAUCAAGGCAGGUGGCUUAUAGGACAGGAAACGCUAAUGUAGUAGCCACGUUUUCUCAGCGUCUCAUGCAGUAAUAUACUUUGCUUCCUUCUCAUAUGAAUUGAGCUGGGUCCUCCGUUUCCUUUCUCUCUUGAUGACCUCAGCCAGCUGCUCGUAUCUAAAUGCCAUAGAGCACUACACACACACCUCUAGCCCAGACCUUCUCACACCCCAGAUUCCUCCAUCCAGCUGUUCACGUGUCCCUUCGACUUGGAUUGGCCUCCCCGACAUGACAUGUUCAAAGCACAGAUCUUGAUUUUUGCUUUCUUAACCUCCUUCCCUCCAGCCUUUCCCAUCUUACUAAAUAUCAGGUGUUUCCCGUCUUAGUGAAUAUCAAUCCAGCUGUUCAAGCCAAAAACCCAAGGAUCACCUUUUCCUCUGUGCCCUUCACCUCCUUCAACCAAAUUAUCCUUUGACUUCUAUCCCAAGUCUCCUGCUCUUCUUCCUACCUCUAGUGUAGCAUUCUCUCACCUGGAUCACAUCUGGUCUCUCUGCGGUAUUCACUCAACACAUACCUACAGAGGUCCUUCUGCUAGAAUAGGAGCCAGAUGGUGACCAGCAGUCACCUAAGUAGAAGUAUGAGAUCUUGUGUCUCCUAGGGGUCACAGAGAGCUGGAGUUCAGAGGGCAGUGAGGAUCUGUGGAGGUAGGACUAGAUUUAGGGAGCGGGAUGGCCCCCAAAGAAAUGAUCCCUGAGCUGAGACCCUAAGGGUAACCCAGAAGAAGGUUCUAGGCAAAGGCUACGGUACAGUUGGCUUUCCGUAUCCACAGGUUCUGCACGCGUCUGUUCAACCAAGUGUGGAAUGAAAUGUUUUUAAAUCUGCUGAUUAUGUAAUUCGAGUCUGUCUCUGUACUAACCACAGCCAGACUUCCACUUCCUGCCGCCCUCCCUGCACCGGGCAGUGUAGCACCUGCUCCCACAGCGCUUACACUGUGUCAGCUGGGGUAGGUGACCUGGGAGGACACCCAGGGACUUGAGCAGCCUCAGAUCUCGGUUCUGCAGAGGUCCUGGGGCAGUGCCCCGUGGACACUGGAGGUGGCUGUCCUCAGCCGUCCUGUGGUAGGAGGAGACAGGGGGGAGGCCCGUGUGGACGAGGACAGAGGCCCUCUGAGGCCCCUAGGGCUGGCCUUGAGGUCAGUGCCCUUACCACAGGAGCCCUGGAGGGCCACUGCAGGUCUCGAGGGUCACUUUUUCUGUCCCACACUUUGGCCUGCUUUCCCAGCUUUUGUCUACCAGAUUUCCUGUCCCACUCUGAGAGGACCACUUGGGACCUUUGCCUCUGAUUCCCACCAACACCCCGGUCCUCGCUCUGAACUGAUACUCUUACAUCCCACGUCAGGAAACCACGGUCGUCAUGUAAGAGAGGCCGGUCUUAAUCCCCUGACCUCCCUCCCUCCUCCGAACCUCACUCUACCCCUAGGCACAAGGGAAGCGCCUUCCGCCUCCCCUUGAGUCCUGCGUGCCCUCCCUCUUGUCUGUUCUGGGGCUUCCUGCUUCUCCCCUCGUCAUCGGUGGUCCUUGCCAUCAGCCUGGAAACACGGCCGACCUGUGGACACCUUCCCUUGACCUGGGUCUCCCUCCAGGAACACCCUGGGUCUCCGCUCCUUCACAGCCAAGCCUCUCAGGACAGUCACCCAUGCUAAAAAGGCUGACCACCAGCCACAUGAGGUUAUUGAGCACUUAAAUGUGCCAGCUUGAUCAAGGGACUGAAUUAUUAUAUUUAAUUUUGAUUAAUAGCCUCGUGUGGCUACCAUAGUGGAUAGCCAAUUCCAAAGGAUUCAAAUUACAUAAUUAACAAACUCAGUCAUUCUCAUAUGUGUGCGUGCGCAUAAUACAUGUACAUAUAUGUAUAUAUACACGUGUGCAUGUAUGUAUGCAGGUGUCACACAUAUAAAACUGUGUCUAAGAGUUCGUAUUUUUAGAAGUAGUUGGACACAAUACCUUUAUUUUAUUAAUUUAUUUUUAUGUGGUGCUGAGGAUCGAACCCAGUGCCUCACACAUGCUAGGCAAGUGCUCUACCACCGAUCCACAGCCCCAGCCCGAGUUCAUAUUCUUUUCAAAGGCAGAACAGUCAUGAGAUCCUCCUGGACCCCUGGCAGUUCGUUCCCUACUCCCCAACCUCUCUUCAUGCCUCAGUCUCUCUCAUUCUGAACUUGGCCCGCCGGCCAGGAGGGACCAGCUGCUUAGGACAACCAAAGAAGAGUGGGACUCUCCGUGUGCUUGGACAUGGAGACCAGUUUCUUCUACAGCUGGAGCCGAUGCAUCCAGAACCGCAGCCUCUGUGCUGCCCAGUUCUGUUUCCAAGCGGUGGAUUCAGAUCUGGUUGAAAGCUGGGGUCUUGACACUUGUCUGCUGGGUUUCCCGGCUGCUCUGCUCUGUCAUGCCCUCCCUCUGGGAUUGCAGAAAUCCCCAGGAAGGGUGGGGGCCACUGCCUGCUGGGCUCGUGCCUCCUCUAUCAUCGGAGCCCAGGGCCCAGCCCAGGUCCACGUCCCUGCCCCACUGUUCAUCUUGGGCCCAGCAGAAAUCCACAGAUGACUCCCCAAGAAAGCUUGGCUCCCCAGCCUAAUGCUGUGCUUGUGGAUAUGCUCUCUCCAGGCUGACCCUUGUGAGGUGGUCAGGAACGGAGGGGACACUGGGAUUGGGUACUUUAAAAUCAGACAGUGUUAAGUAAGUGAUUCAAGUGGGGAGAGAGAUCUUGGCUUCUCAUUUCUGCUUAAGAAGAAAGUCUAAAUUCCGUGUUAGUAGUUCUUUAAACCCUCUUAUUACUCCCUAAUCUUCCUUUCUAGUAAAGGCAGGCUGGCUGGAGUCUUUGCAGAUAAUAGUACAGUAUCUAGUCGGAAUUAGUCUUAUGAUUUUAUCACAUUCGGCUUUAUAGCCACCUUCAAUUUAUGGCAAAUGGCACCGGUGUUCCCUUUGAGCACUGUGAAAUUUCCUUUUUAAGUGUGUCGAGCACAAUGGCACACGUAAUCCCAUCCACUCAGGAGGCUGAGGCGAAAGGAUCACAAGUUCAAAGCCAGCCUGGGCAGCUUAGCUGAAAGUAAAAAGUUGAAGAGUCUAGGAUAUAGCUCAGUGGUGGAGUGGCCCUGGGUUCGAUCCCCAGUACCACCAGCACCCCCCCCCAACAACAACAAAAAAAAAAGUAUGUGUAUUUUUUUUUAAUAUUUAUUUUUUAGGUGCAGAUCGACACAACACAAUGCCUUUAUUUUUUAAUGUGGUGCUGAGGCUCGAACCCAGGUCCCGCCCGUGCUAGGCGAGUGCUGUAUCGCUGAGCCACAGUCGCAGCCCCUAAAAGUUAACAUCUUUAUAUAUAUAUAAACAAUGUGUGUGCAUUUUUAAAGAAUCAGUGUAGAGAAAACACUCAUGGUCCUCCACGGGACAUCUGGAGCUAGCAAAAGUCAUGUUGCGAUUCAUGAAUGACCAAACUCCGGGAAAUGCUGCCUUAGUAACAUCUGUCAGAAUGGACGGGUCCGGAUGUCUGCUAGGCGGGCCACGCUGAAAGCCAGCCCAGCCCUUUCUGCAACAGCGUCCAAGUCUUGGUUUGUCUGUGUCCCGCUUCUCGCUUCUCGUCCCAAAGGUUCAUUUACCAAGCGAAAGUCGGGGGCCGCUGGUUUCCAGCCGUCUGCGCGCACAGCAAGAAGCAAGGCAAGCAGGAAGCAGCCGAUGCGGCCCUCCGCGUCCUGAUUGGGGAGAGCGAGAAGGCAGAGCGCAUGGGUUUCACAGAGGUAACCCCAGUGACAGGGGCCAGUCUCAGAAGAACUAUGCUCCUCCUCUCCAGGUCCCCAGAAGCGCAGCCAAAGACAGUUAAGACGUCUACUUUUGGUGCUAUCUUUUUGUUUUGGGGGUGGAGCUGGCUUGUCACUAGCUGUCAUGUGAAUUGUCCCUUGGCUAUGCUACUAGCCUCAAUAGAGCAUAUAACUGGGACACUAGAUGUGAAAGGGGAAAGAAAGGUGGUGCACGAGUCCAUUAGCACGUGACCCCCUGCCCACUGUGAAGCAUGGUGGACGCGGGCGUGGCUGCAUGACCCUCACAGCCCCCUGUCCCCACAGCUUCCUCUCACUGGCAGUACCUUCCACGACCAGAUAGCGAUGCUGAGCCACCGGUGCUUCAACACCCUCACAAACAGUUUCCAGCCCUCCCUGCUCGGCCGCAAAAUCCUAGCCGCCAUCAUUAUGAAGAAAGACCCUGAGGACAUGGGUGUCGUGGUCAGCUUGGGGACAGGUGAGAGAGGGUCUCCCCAGCCACCAGCCUCUCAGUGACUGGAAGCAGGUCUUCCUCACCCUCCCCUGAGUCCAUGUGAGCAAGUCCAAGCCCGGGGACCAGGCCGCGCGUCCCCUUGUCCUGACAUGGAUCUUAAAAAGCUCUGGAUUUUGGCCAGGUGCCAGGGUGCCUUUAAUGCCACCCACUCAGGAGGCUGCGGCAGGGUGAUGGAGAAUUCAGAGCCAGCUCAGCAACUGAGCAAGACCUAAGCAACAGCAAGACCCUGCCUCUCAAAAAAUACUGCCGAGGGCUGGGCAUGUGGCUCAGGGGCUAAGUGCCCACGGGUUCAAUCCCCAGUACACCCCCUCAAAAAAAAGCUUUGCAUUUUGGAACACUUCAGAUUUCCACAUUAGGGAUGCUCAACUAGCAGACUCCAUGCAAAUAUUCCAAAAUCUGAACAACUCCAGACUCUGAAACACUGUGGUCCUGAGCACUUGGGUAAAGGACACUCACCUGCGUGUCAUUUAGCUGCAGUCAGCUCAGGGUGGGGGUGGACUCCUUCUCCCUAGGUAAGAGGAUGACUGUCCAGGCUGUUCUCCGCGAGCCUGAAGACAGACUGCCCCACCCACUUCACCCUCCUUCUCCUUUGACUUUUCCCUUUUUCUCCCAAUCCUUCAGGGAAUCGCUGUGUCAAAGGAGACUCCCUCAGCCUCAAGGGAGAGACCGUCAACGACUGUCAUGCGGAGAUCAUCUCCCGAAGAGGCUUCAUCAGGUGAGCGAGCACCUGCCGGGGCUGCCCCCGCCCACCUGGGCACAGUGGCUCCGGCACAGGCCUUCCUGACACCCCGGCAGACGGCAGGUCCCUGAGCCAGCAGUGGUGGCCUUCGGGUUUAUCCUGUGAUCUGAGCCCUCGUAGAGCCAGUCCCCUCUGUGACCCUCUGCCUCCCACCCCCAGCCUGGUCCUAAGACCUUUUUUCUGCCAACUCUGCUGUCUUCUGUUUCUCAAAACAAAGUGACCCUGGGUCCUCGGGCCUUGGGGAUGAGGCGGCCUCCAUCUCCAUUUGAGGACCCAUCAGCACCUCGUGUCGCCGCGGCUUCUCCUCUGGUUCACCUUUUCUCUAAUUUGUGAAGGGAGCGGGGAAGAGGCAGCUGCCUCCCGAAGCCUUGAGCCAGUUCCUUCUGCCUGGAGUCCCUGCAGCCGCCACAGCAAGGGGCCUUUGGCGGAAAUGAAACGGACCGAAAGGCUCACUGUGCUUUAUGAAAUGCUGAGGUCUCUCUGGGAAGCUUCCCCACCUGAGAAGCUAGAAGAGCUGCACCAGGAAACUUGUCCCCACUUGGGGCUCAGAUAGGGGUCAGCUCCAAGCACCAUCUGCUCUCGCCAGAAUCCAGCCUGCCGUCCUAACUGCACGUCUUUUACAGGUUCCUUUACAGUGAGUUAAUGAAAUACAACCCCCAGACUGCGAAGGACAGUAUAUUUGAGCUUGCCAGGGGAGGAGAGAAGCUCCAGAUAAAAAAGACUGUUUCGUUCCACCUGUACAUCAGGUCUGUACCCUGCCGGGCUCCCAGGAUGGGCUUCCACCUGCUCUGCCGGCCCCUAAAUCUGACCCCACGCAACAGGCCACACGCUCCACUGAGGUACCAUGAGGUACAUUCCCCAGUGGAGGAUGACUGUCCUAGACACAGCUGCCCCCUCCAGCAUCCCCUGGUGGGCUCCAGGAAACAUCCCAGCUCCAGCCGCAGCAGACUAGGGACCCCGAGAAGUUGGAGUUCCCUCCUGCGCAGGUGAGUGACGGACACCCCUGUGUUGCAGCACUGCCCCGUGUGGAGACGGCGCCCUCUUCGACAAGUCCUGCAGUGACCGCGCCCUGGAAAGCACAGAUUCCCGCCACUACCCUGUCUUUGAGAAUCCCAAACAAGGCAAGCUGCGCACCAAGGUGGAGAAUGGUGAGUGCCACACAGGCUCUGCGAGACCCCCGUGUGCGCCACUCGUCACGGGGGAGGACUGUAGGGAGGGGAAGUUCCAUUCUGAAUCUGUUAGCUCAGGUGAUGAGAGCCUGGGGGGGAAGAAAGGACAGAGCGUGUCCUCCUGGGGUCUCCACGGCCGGCACAGGCAGAGUGCGGGGGGAGGGCGGCGGAAGUGAAAAGUCAGGCCCUCCGUCUGGUGGCCUCGGACCUGGCCUCCUGCCCCCUCGCGCCUUCCUGCCUGUCCCCCAGCAUCUCCUUCUCCUCCGGUCACCCCUGCUCCCUUCAUGCUUCAGCAGUCGUCUGCGUCACUGUCAAGCCCAAGUCAGGUCACGUCAGUUCCCUGCUGGCCACCCUGAAGUCUGGACAGCACCACGUGGCCCAGCAGUCCUCCUGGGCUAUCCCCAGGAGAAGUGAAAGCCCAGGUCCACACAGAGCUAGUUCGGGCGCCUUCACAGCAGCCGGGCAGGGGACACGGCCAGCGCCCUCCCCUCCAUGACAGAAAAGUAAAACCGCCACAUCCAUGCGAGGGACUGUCCUUGGCCAUGACAUGAAGUAAGCAUUGACCCAGCUACAGUGAGGUCACCCUGAAAACGUCAUGCUAAGCGCAAAAAGCCCCAAAAGAUCACGUGGUGUGACUCCAUUUCUAUGAAAUAUCCAGAAUAAAUGAGUUCUACAGACAGGAAGUGCCUGAGAGGCUGCCCGGAUGAGGGACGGAGGGAGGUGGGAGUGAGAGCCAGCCGAGGUCGGGUUGGGGUUGAUCGUGCCGAUGUAUAAUCCCAUGGUGCAUAACCUCAGAAACGCCAAAAACCACUGAACAGCUUGCUUUCAAUGGCGAGUUGUAGUAUACGACUUGUAUCUCAGUAAAGCUGGUAUUUUUUAAAAAAACGCAAGCACCAUGUAGGGUCUCCCACUGCCCUUGAUACGAAGGCAACCUGAGCCAGGCACAGUGGCCCAGGCCUGCAAUCCCAGCAGCUCCGGAGGCUGAGGCAGGAGGAUCACGAGUUCAAAGCCAGCCUUAGCGAGGCCCAGAGCAACUCAGCAAGACCCUGUCUGUACUGAAAGCCCACCUCCCGGCCUCAGCCUGCCCAGUCUUCUCUUUGGUGAUUCUCUGGUGCCCCCGAAACACCGAAACCCUCGCUGCCUCAGGCCGUGGCUUCUGCCGCUCGCUCCCUGUCUGAAUGGGUUAGGACUCUUCUCCCUCCAGCUGCUCCCUGCCUCCUCCACCCAGGAGCUCGCGGUGCCGUCCCCCCGGCUCUCCCACAGGCCUUCCCCACGCUGUCAGCAUCUGGAGUUCCCACCUGCUCACUGGUGCAUCUGCUUAGUGCUCUCCUUUCCCUUUCUGUCCCUCACCCCUGAACACCGCGGGACAGCACGGACCUCACUGAGGUCUGCUCCCCAGUGUUUCCCAGCUCCCAGCACAGUGACCGCCGUGUCCUCCAGGACUGUGAGCCACAUGGAGAAUGAAGGGCCGAGCUGCCGGUGGCCCGGCCUCAGGAGCUCAAGUCCCGCGCUAGGGGUGGUUUGGUGGCCUCUGUGGAUCUGACCCGAGUCUCUCACACAGGGGAAGGCACCAUCCCUGUGGAGUCCAGUGACAUUGUGCCUACGUGGGAUGGCAUCCGGCUUGGGGAGAGACUCCGCACCAUGUCCUGUAGUGACAAAAUCCUACGCUGGAACGUGCUGGGCCUGCAAGGGGCACUGCUGACCCACUUCCUACACCCUGUGUAUCUCAAAUCUGUCACACUGGGUAAGGGACCUGCCUUGGGAGUUGGAACCCACCUGUCCUUCUCCACCCCAGUCCCAGAAAACUUCAUGCUUCAGUCAACCCACUUUCCACAGUGAGCUCAGCCCCGUCGUCAGCAGGGGGUGCCGGCCUGCACAGGCCGGAGGGUGGCCAGGAGGCCGAGGAGGGGGGCCAGGCCAGUCUCCAAGACGGGUCGGAGAAACGCGGCAGAUGGCAGCAGCAGCAUCUGGUUUUCCUUGUUCUCCUCAGUCCUUGGCCUUACCCGAAACAUUCCGUUUUGUGCUUCAAUAUUUGAUGAUCCUGUGUGUCCUGUGCUGCCACAGUUAGAGGCCCUGCCUGUCAGGGGCUCUCUGUCCUGACAAUUCUGCCUUAUACCUUCCAGCCCCCGGGGGCCUCAGCUUCUCCAUAGCUUUGGUGAACACAGAUGUAUGGGUUUUUGUUUCUGUUUUUACUUUCUUUUUUAUACCCAGGGUACCUUUUCAGCCAAGGACAUCUGACCCGGGCUAUCUGCUGUCGUGUGACAAGAGACGGGAGUGCGUUUGAGGCUGGAUUACGAUACCCCUUUGUUGUCAACCACCCGAAGGUCUGUGCCCCUGUCCUGUUCCCCUUUUCAAGCAUUCCCAUCAGCAGAGCAGAAAUAUGGUCAAGGGAGCCAUGGUUGGUGUCCUCUGGAGGCCAAGGGCUUUCCUCCUCUAGCCUGACACGAUCUGAAUCGAGGUGGAGAGUACUUCUAGAGUGUGCUCCGGUGUAACCAAGCCAUGUUAAAUCAAGGGGGAGACGGUGGCCCACCUCCCUCUUCCCCAUGAUUCGGGAGUCCCUGCUCCCAGAACUUAGCCCUGAAUGGUGUCCACCUCUCUCUCUUCACUCCUGGGACUCCCAGGUGGGCCGAGUCAGUGUGUAUGACUCCAAGAGGCAAUCCGGGAAGACUAAGGAGACGAGCGUCAACUGGUGUUUGGCUGACGGCUUCGACCUGGAGAUCCUGGAUGGUACCAGGGGCACCGUGGACGGGUAAGGAAGGGGGAGGGUGCAGGGCAAGCAGGAUCCUCUCCAGAGCUAGGGCCACGUCCCACCACGGGUGUCCCCAGUGGCUCCCACUCCCCUGUCCCAGGUGAAUAACCAGUGCCUUUGUUUCCCCAGGCCACGAAAUGAAUUGUCGCGGGUAUCGAAAAAGAACAUUUUUCUUCUGUUUAAGAAGCUCUGCUCCUUCCGGUACCGCAGGGACUUACUGAAACUCUCCUACGGUGAGGCCAAGAAAGCCGCCCGCGACUAUGAGAUAAACAAGAACUACUUCAAAAAGAGCCUCAAGGACAUGGGUUACGGAAACUGGAUAAGCAAACCCCAGGAGGAGAAGAACUUCUAUCUCUGCCCCGUACCCAACGACUGAGGCUGGGGGUUGGCGGGGAGGGGGGGGGUCCUGGCAUUCCUCAUCACAUUGGCCUAGGGUGGGGGGGGGUUAACCCCCACCUUUUUUUUUUUAAUGGAACCAUAAUUAGAGAUACUGAGAACUUUGGGUUCCCUUUAUCCUGCUUUCUUUGGGGUUUCUAGGCAGAAUCUGGCCAGGCCCCUUCUCUUACUUCAAGUGAGAGGCAGAGACCUACAGGCAGAGAAAGGGGUUGACCUUUCCACCCAGAGCAUAAGCAGUCACCCAGCCCCUGUGGCCCAUCUCCUCCUGAGCUUUGUUUUCCCGUUUCCUUUUUGUGGGUGUGUUUCUACACUGACCUCUCGUGGACUUGAUCAGGUUCCAGUCAGUUCUCUGUGAACCGUGUCAGGGACCAAGGAUCUCGUUUAUGGAUCCCACAGGCCCCUCUAUUUCCCACCCCCGGCUUCUGAGAUUCUUACCUGUGAUCACUGAGUCUCUCCUCCCACCCUGGAGGGUAAAGAGGUGGACUUCAGGAAUUAGGUGAAAUAUUUACAAGGGUAGGAACUGAAGACUACGGCGGAUUAACUACCAGUGCCAAUGGAAGUGGGACUGGAAUCUGCGAACCCUGCUCAGCAGUGGGAACCUGCACUGUGUCCAGGAAAAAGCCGCUGCUGGCGAAGCGCAUCCCUUCCCGGGGCAGCAGGAAGUUGAGAACCAGCAGACGGGCUAGGAAGUUACCCACGCCGUAGGCGGUCCCCCCUGCAGAGUGACACAGACCACUACCAGGGGCACAGACAGACGUUCCUUGGGCUAUUGCCAAGCUCCCAUCUGCCCAUAAGCCCAUAGACCCCAGUAAACUAGUGUGAAAAACUUCAGGACAAUUCUUAGAGGGUAAAUCGUCUGCUCAGAUAGUUAGGACUUAGCAAGAAUAGGGCAGAAAUCAUGUUGGGACAAAUCGUUGUUCUGUGCAGUUCAAUAUUUCUCAGCACUGAUCCAAGGAAAGUUGACUAAACCCAGUAGAAUUAGGGCUCUUUUAAAGAAUGCCAGAGACGUUGGUUCUCAACCGCAGUCGCACAGAUUUAAAAUGCAGAUGGCCUUUUCCAUCCAUCCCAGGGCCUCAUCGUGUCAGAUGGCUCUGGGACUGGCAGAUGAUUUCCCACACUCCUGCCUCCCACCCGCAAACUGCUUCCCCACCUGGUCUGGCCCACCUCUUCAGUAGUGGAUAUGUCUGUGUUUGCACUUUGAUCUCUCUGGCUACUUUCUGUACCUGUGACCAAAAACUGAAUGAAAUAAUAAUGCAGGUUUUAAAAAAGACACUAAGGAUGUCUUUGUGGGACACUGAAGCAUCCCAAGGGAACUGGUGGGGAAAUGGGGCCUGUCUCUGGGGGAGAAGGGGCCGGGGCUUUGUGAGUAUUGCCAAGCUUGGGGUAUUAGCUGAAGGCAUGUGACUUCAGUGCUGACCUGCGGAGUGACAGUGCUCACUGUGUGGGGGCAGGGUGAUCUUGUGGCUCCGGGACAGGUCCUCCCGGCUGGAGGAUGACUACCUACCAGUUCCUCAGGAUGUCUGGCAGCUUUGGUCUGCCUUGGGCAUUAGAAUCUCUGGCAGAGAUCUGACUCAGCAGUCCCCCACCCCAUCACUGGGAGCACAGGGGCUCUCAAGAGAUCAGAGCCCCACUCGCCCCCAGGAUCUUAUCUAGCAAACUUGUCAUAUCCAGUUUCUGCUGUAAGAAGAAAGCGAGAAGCACCCCUGCCCUCCACACCCUGCUGGAAUUGAGCCGUGUCAGGCCCCGCCCCCCCCGUGUCCCAGGCCCCGCCCCUCAGAGUCACACAGGAGGGGUGGGGGGCAGAGCAUCCCCCCUGUGUUCACUUCUGUCCAAUCUUUGUUUUAACAAGCAAGACCCCUCCCUCCUUUCUUUAAUGGUUUUUUGUAGUUGAUUUGUCUGAACUGUGGCUGUUGUGCAUUAUCUUUGAAUAAUCACUUGUAAAAAUUGUUGAUGCUUGAAGCUAUUUCCUUUACUCAAGUUGAAAGGACUCUGUUGGCUUUGGGGUCUUGACAGUGACUCCAAGAGCAGAGUGGGGAAGAGCCCGGGCAUAGCCUUGGUGCCAGGGAGGCUGCAGUCCAGUUUCAUGAUUCUGCUUUUUGUGUCUACCUUCAAGUGACUCACAGUAUACAUUCCUCUGAAAUAAAAACAGUGAACAGUCUGAAUCCUUAGAGAGCUUCAUGUCUUGGU